rnacentral:rRNA from 1 species
UGGGGAAUUUUGGACAAUGGGCGCAAGCCUGAUCCAGCCAUGCCGCGUGCGGGAAGAAGGCCUUCGGGUUGUAAACCGCUUUUGUCAGGGAAGAAAUCUUCUGAGUUAAUACCUCGGGAGGAUGACGGUACCUGAAGAAUAAGCACCGGCUAACUACGUGCCAGCAGCCGCGGUAAUACGUAGGGUGCAAGCGUUAAUCGGAAUACUGGGCGUAAAGCGUGCGCAGGCGGUUUUGUAAGACAGAGGUGAAAUCCCCGGGCUCAACCUGGGAACUGCCUUUGUGACUGCAAGGCUUGAGUGCGGCAGAGGGGGGAAUGGAAUUCCGCGUGUAGCAGUGAAAUGCGUAGAUAUGCGGAGGAAACACCGAUGGCGAAGGCAAUCCCCUGGGCCUGCACUGACGCUCAUGCACGAAAGCGUGGGGAGCAAACAGGAUUAGAUAGCCCUGGUAGUCCACGCCCUAAAACGAUGUCAACUGGUUGUUGGGAAGGUUCCUUCUCAGUAACGUAGCUAACGCGUGAAGUUG